UAUAUAAGGACACUCCAGAUUUAAUUUCGUGAUUUUUGGAGAUCGGGAACACCUCGAACGAAGUUGUCCAGUUACUCCGCAGUUUUUCGGGUUUUCUGUUUUCAGCAAUUUUUAUUGAUUCUUAGCUGUAGGUUUUCAUUUGUUUACCUUUAUUCUUCCUUUACGUUAUCUAACACCUUCUUGUUUCUUGUGUUAGUAGGAUUUAAACGUGUGCACAACUUCUUCCUCGGUGCAACACGAAUCAAUUGGUGUCUCGUCAGUUU
rnacentral:lncRNA from 1 species